UUGGGUCUAUAGUUGAAUUUGUGCAUGGAGAUGGGCAUUAGCUGGGCAAUUCCAAGGGCAUGAAUUGUAAUGGACUGGUAAGAAGGCCAAAGUUAUGUGAGGUUGCAUGAUCAUGGCUGUGUUAUGGGUGGUAUCGAUGGAGAGAAACAGAAGGAUUCUGAAGAUUAUGCAGGGGCACGCUUUGAGGAGUUGCGAGGCAGAAUUCAUUUUUGGGAUGCGCUAUGGGCUUCUGUUUUCUUUAAAUUGAGUAUUUUAGGAAUGAUGUGGGAGGAAAAAUGGGAUUGUGGGCGGCCAUGCCUAUUGCUCAGCACACAUGAAUUUCAUCUUGGGUGAAAUAAAAUAAGAGUUUUUCUAUUUAAAUCUCGCACUUCUCUUUGUUCACUUCAUAUUCUAUAUUCACCUUAACUUUUAAUUCAAAUUUCAUAAUUUUUAAGAAAACCUCACUAUCUUCCCAAACUAACUCUAAAUACAUACUCAGC
rnacentral:lncRNA from 1 species